rnacentral:lncRNA from 1 species
GUGGAGUGCCGGAAUUCAGGGGAAUCUGUGUUAUCAUGCACACUCUUCUCUGAGGAUAGAAUCACAGGCACACCAAAAACUAGCCAUCGCCGUUAGGGACGGCAUCAGAAGGGACAGCCCCAAAAGAUUACACAGGACAAAAGAAGUGGUCAAAUACAAGGAUUCCUUUACCAGCCAAUUGGAGCACAGAGAAAGGUAAAGUGGCCCAGAGCCACAAGCUCAGCAGUGACAGAAUUCAGAUCUAAGACCAAGCAUUUCAACUCCAGUGCCCGAGCUCUCCAUCACCAUACUACAACAACUCAAAUGAAAAAAAGAUAUGGAAAUACAUAUAUUUCUGAACGUAUAUAGAAGAAGAAGAAAUGCAGCAUAUAAUCAACACUAGAAAAAAAGUGUUACCUGAAAAUCAAUAUAAAAAAGUGUCCUCUUAGGGUGAGGAGAGAUAAUAUUUAGAGGCAAACAUAGAAAACACCAAUAAAUAUUUGUUUCAUCUCUGUUUUUGCACACAUACACACAAACACAAUAAACAUUUCUGCUAUUUUGUUGUUAAUUUGGUUUAUUUAUUUGAAAUAUAAAUAAAAAUAUGUGAGAAUUUUAAAAAGAAGCUAUCCUCAAUGAGAGAAUGGAAAAUGAAAUAAUACUUAGAAAAACUGUCAGUGUUUAAAACCAAAUGACCAGUCACUUCCAUACCAGGUAUUAAGAGAAAAUGACAAACUUUGCUGCAGACCUCAGCACUCAUGAUUCAGAGCAACAUCAGAUGGAAGAGGAUAAACGAAGAGCUCAUGGGAAGAACAUAGCCUCCAAUCUAAAACUUGCUGGGCAGCCAAGAAAAAUGCCCAGAAAGUACUGAAGUGAGUUACAUAGCAAAGUCAUUAGUAUAGGUUUGAAAAUGGAGAGCAUUGCAUACAGCUAGAUAUAGUGUUGCACUGAGCAAUUCUCAACAUAUCAAUACAACUUUCUUACCCCAUUUUCUCAUAGAAGAAUGAGAAACCAAUCAGGCUGAUAUGACAAAUAUUACUCUCAUUAGAUAAAAAAUGUCAUACUCAGGAAGCCUUAAAAUAUACUAAAAUAUACUUUUUCCAUAUCAACACAGAAGUUAAUUGCAAGAAAUUUACAAAUAAUGGUUGUUCAUGGCACAACCUCAAUAUUUUGAAAUCCACAACUGUCAGUCCUCUGUAUGGAAUUAUCUAUCAACAGUUUUAAUGAUGUAGAUAAAAUAAUAAAUCAGUUGCUAAUUUAAUUUGCUGACAGCAAUAACUUGGAAUCAUUAUAUUCAGAUAUAAGUCAUAUUAAUUAAAUUCCAUUCUAUUUCAAAUAUUGCAUAAUGUAAAUGUGUAUUACUUUGUUUUCAAAAAAAAUCUCUUGAAGUAAUUAUUAACUGCCUUUCUUUGGUAAUGAAAGAAAGAUUCAGAAUUGUAUUGACUAAUCUUGGGUUAACAAUUGAGAGAGUGAUGAAGUCAGGAUUUGAACCUGGGUCACAGUUUUCUACUAUCUCCGCUGUCUUUUGGUGGCAUUAAUACUGUAAAAGCCAAACAGAUUUUGAACAUUUUUAAUGUUUUUAAACAAAGUGACUAUCCAAACUACAGCUUUACAGAGGAGUUAUUUCAAAUUAAUUUACUUGAGAAUGAGAAUGGCAAUGAAAAUUAAGAUUUAUUGAACUCUGCUUUAAGCACUAUGUUAAGAUCUUUUUAAAAUGUCAUUUUAUUCAAUUUAUACAUUCAGCAAAUAUUUAUUUGAUGUGUUUUAGGUGUUGGUGAAAUAGCAAAACAUACAAGAUAAUCUGUCCUUGUGGAACUCACCCACUUAUUAGGGAGAAAAAGAUAUAUAUGAACACUAACUAUAAGGUGAUUUUAGGUAAAAUAAAGAUAUAAAGAGACA